GCCGGGGCUGGGCUCGCUGGCCUGGGUCGCGGCGCUGAUGGUGCCGCUGGCGGCGUUCUACUCGGCGCUCUGCCU
rnacentral:tRNA from 1 species